UACGAAGGGGGCUAGCGUUGUUCGGAAUUACUGGGCGUAAAGCGCGCGCAGGCGGCUUUCCAAGUCAGUGGUGAAAGCCCGGAGCUCAACUCCGGAACUGCCAUUGAAACUGUUUAGCUUGAGGACGAGAGAGGUGAGUGGAAUUCCCAGUGUAGAGGUGAAAUUCGUAGAUAUUGGGAAGAACACCGGUGGCGAAGGCGGCUCACUGGCUCGUAUCUGACGCUCAGGCGCGAUAGCGUGGGGAUCAAACAGG
rnacentral:rRNA from 1 species